CACUAAUGUAUUCAACGAGUUUAUAACCUUGGUCGACAGGCCCAGGUAAUCUUUGAAAUUUUAUCAUGAUGGGGAUAGAUCGUUGCAAUUGUUGGUCUUCCAUGAAGAAUUCCUAUUAAGCGCGAGUUAUCAGCUCGUGUUGACUACGUCCCUGCCCUUUUACACACCACCCAUUGCUCCUACCAAUUGAAUGAUCCGAUGAAAUGUUCGGAUUGCUGCAAAGUAGGCGGUUUGCUGCUCGCGACAUCGCAAAAUGUCCAUUGAACCUUAUUAUUUAGAGGAAGGAGAAUUCGCAAUAAGGUUUUCGUAGGAG
rnacentral:rRNA from 1 species